UACGAGGGGGGCAAGCGUUGUUCGGAAUUAUUGGGCGUAAAGGGUGCGUAGGCGGUUUGGGAAGUCUUAUGUGAAAUCUACAGGCUCAACUUGUAGUCUGCAUGAGAAACUGCCGGGCUUGAGUAUGGGAGAGGUGAGUGGAAUUCCAGGUGUAGCGGUGAAAUGCGUAGAGAUCUGGAGGAAUACCGGUGGCGAAGGCGGCCCCCUGGACAAAGACUGACGCUCAGGUGCGAAAGCGUGGGGAGCAAACAGG
rnacentral:rRNA from 1 species